rnacentral:rRNA from 1 species
GACGAACGCUGGCGGCGUGCCUAAUACAUGCAAGUCGAACGAGAGCGACCGGUGCUUGCACUGGUCAAUCUAGUGGCGAACGGGUGAGUAACACGUGGGUAACCUGCUCAUCAGAGGGGGAUAACAUCCGGAAACGGAUGCUAAAACCGCAUAGGUCUUCGAGCCGCAUGGCUUGAAGAGGCAAAGAGGCGCAAGCUUCUGCUGAUGGAUGGACCCGCGGUGCAUUAGCUAGUUGGUGAGGUAACGGCUCACCAAGGCCGUGAUGCAUAGCCGACCUGAGAGGGUGAUCGGCCACAUUGGAACUGAGACACGGCCCAAACUCCUACGGGAGGCAGCAGUAGGGAAUCUUCCGCAAUGGGCGCAAGCCUGACGGAGCAACGCCGCGUGAGUGAAGAAGGUUUUCGGGUCGUAAAACUCUGUUGUUAGGGAAGAACAGGUGCUAGAGUAACUCUUAGCGCCUUGACGGUAUCUAAACAGAAAGCCACGGCUAACUACGUG